GGAAACUUGAGAAUUUUGGCUGACCUUACCCCUUCCUUGAAUUAUGUAUUUCCUUUGCCAUCAUCAUAAAAGACACCCACAACUAGAUCAUGGGAGCUUUGAAAUAGUUAAGAUUAACAAUGAAAGAAGGCAUAUUCUGUCAGCCUCAUCAGCAUUACUUAUUGGCAGCAUAGUUGGCCUCAUACGAGCCAUAUUCCUCAUAUUUGGAGCAAAACCUCUAUUAGGCUUCAUGGGAGUUAGUUCGGAUUCUCCAAUGCUAACUCCUGCACAACAAUACUUGACAUUGAGGUCACUUGGUGCUCCUGCGGUUCUUCUUUCAUUGGCCAUGCAAGGGGUGUUUCGUGGAUUUAAGGACACAAAAACACCUUUAUACGCCACUGUGGCAGGAGAUGUAACAAACAUUAAACUCGAUCCACUAUUUUAUGUUUGUUUUCCGUAUGGGUAUCAAUGGGGCAGCCAUUGCUCAUGUUAUAUCUCAAUAAGUGUAAUCUAAUCUUUCUCCACAAGAGUAUUUUGCAUGUAUUGUGACUGGGGACUUGCUUUUUAUGGUUUUAACAUGUUCUUCGUUGGGACUGGUCGGCAUGGUUAUUGUUGUUGUUGUUGUUGUUGUUGUAUAGGUACCUAAUUUCAGUUAUACUCUUUUGAUUUACUUUGAUCAUCUCUUGAAUUUGUGUGCAGAAUUAUGAGUACCUACCCUUGG